AAAAAACCCUUUUAUAUAUCCUACUUGUUCUGUCUCUCUGGAUAACCCUGAAUAAUACUCCCAGGAACUAAGCAUCUCGUCCAAGGUCACAAUUACAGGCAGGCAUUUGUGGGGAACGCUCCCAUGUGAAGCCCCCCCAGUGUUGGGCCUCGCUGUGCGUGAGCUUGAUCCCGGACACAGUUUCCUGCUGGAGGCAGUCGAGCUAUGGGGAAGUAGGAACGGAAAGAAUAAGAAUAAUGUCAGCCUCUAUUUCUGACUACAGUGACCCUGGGUAAUGGAUGUGUGUGCUCUUUCGGUUCCUGUUGAGGAGUGGGUUUUAUGACUCUGUUUACCAAGUUAAGUAUAGCCUUUUGAGGACCAGAUGACAUUCCUAUACUCAGAUAAAGGUUUAUGGCUUAGCCUGUGACAUUUCUAGAUUGUUAUCCUUGUGACCACAUGUUCUGUUGACAAUGAUAAAGUACAUCACCUGCUUACCUUUUAUGACCCGUGAUUAUGUACCCCCUCUGCUGACAUUUGCUUUUUGCAACUUUCUGUGCUUUUUGCAACUUUCUGUUCCCCUUAUUGUAUAGCUUACAUAAUGUGCACUGACGUCAAUCCUUAUAAUCUAAAGGUAUAUAUUGGAACCCUGGACACAAAUAAACUUGCUGCAUAGGCAUUGCCUAUUCAGUCCUCCAGACCCCAGCUUUCUGUCUCUCUUUAAUUCUGCGCACCCCCUCUUCCAGGCUGGGACCCUCUCGCUGGCCGAGACUCCCCGGCGGGCUCCCUCAGUUCAAAACAAAACU